UGGCUCUGGCAUCGAUGAAGAACGCAGCGAAAUGCGAUAAGUAGUGUGAAUUGCAGAAUUCAGUGAAUCAUCGAAUCUUUGAACGCACAUUGCGCCCCCUGGUAUUCCUCGGGGCAUGCCUGUUCGAGCGUCAUCUACACCCUCAAGCCCUGCUUGGUGUUGGGCGUCUGUCCCGCCUCCGUCGCGCGGACUCGCCCCAAACUUAUUGGCAGCGGCCCUUGCCUCCUCGCGCAGCACAUUGCCUGGGGAGGUGUUGCGGCCUGCGUCCACGAAGCACGUUCAACCACGUUUUGACCUCGAAUCAGGUAGGGAUACCCGCUGA
rnacentral:misc_RNA from 1 species